UUCCUCCUGGGCUUUUUUUUGUGUUGUCUCAGGGCAGGUGGGUGAGCUAUCAGCUCCUGCUGAUUGCUGGGAGUGGGAAUGUACCCAGUGUUUGGGGAAAGUUGAGUCUGAGCAGGCUUUGUUACAUCUUGGGGACCUGCAGAGAUGGUGGGACCCAACCUACAAGCAAGAAUCUCCCAUGCAGGGACAUGUGCCCACCACAGGUGUCUGCUUCACGAAGCUUCAUAGGGAUAACAAGGCCUGAGACACCUGGAGAGGAUUGUUCUGGGAUGGAGCAGUGGAGCUCUGGGAAUCCCAGGGCUGUACCUACCCCAAAACCUCAUCCACAAAUACCUCAUCCACGUGUUGAAGGCAGCAAGAAGGAUUGUCACACCAACGUUGUUGCUCUUUGUGGGACAGCCACAGCAUCGUAGUGACCAGAGAGCCUCCUGGAAGCCAGCAGGAGAGGGAGCAGUGGGUGUGAUGUGAAGGAGUGCUGGAGAGCAGCCCUGUCAUGCUGAGCUCUCAGGAUAUGUUUGGGUAAUCCUAAAAGACUGCUUGGAGAAGCAGAAAGACACAGGGAGAAGAAGAAAGCAGGAGGCUGGCACAGCCGGCUCUGGAAAUGAUCAGAGGCACUAGUGCCAUAUUGCACCUCUGCACAUGGCCCCGUUGGUCCAUUACAGCUCUUUGCUGGAAGGCAGCUGGCAUCCAGGUAGCUCCAUUGGAGGUGUCUGCAGUGAGCCAAGCAGCAAAAGGGCCACAAAACAUUCCCAGACCAAUUUAUUGGCACAGCAAAAGGAAUCAUCUCUUGGGCUGAUGCAGCAAAGGCACGUGAGCAUUCUGUUGCAGCCAGGUUCAGUGCAUCCCUGUCGCUUCAUGUGGACCAGGAGGGAACCUUUGGUGCUUUCAUUUAGUAGCAGGAAUUUGUCCCAGCCCACAGAAUAUGGCUUGCAUUGAGAUUUUAGAUUUUUAUUUUUAGCAUUGAUUGUGCAUGGCCCAGUGGGGAGGUCCUGCUUAAUGACAGGCUGCAUGCAUGACACAUGCAACAUGUGGUUUUGUAAAAAAUAAAGCCUGUUCCUAACUUAACGGCAAUAAAAUGAAGCUAGCUCAGUCCAGACCUGUAGGAAAUGACCUUCUGCAGUUGUUGCCCCAAGUCUGAGCUCAAAUAGCACUGUAUGCAAGGGUUAUUUUCCCCAACUCUGUGAACUGUGCUGAGAAAAGAAGGGAUAAAAUUGUGGAAAUACCAACAGGAACUCACAGGUUGUAGCUUAGAUUUAGGAUCUGUAUUUCUGUACUAAUUUCACUGAGUGGGAAUAAGAGAUGGUACCAUCCUGGAGGAGUUUGUAAGCCUCCGUCCUGCUAAUAAGAGCAGGUGUGAAGGAGCAGUGACAGCCUGUCCCCUUGGCGUGAUGAGGAAAGAAAUGGGAAUUAUUAAGUCAAGAUACUCAGUGGUGGCUUGUUGAGCAGUUUAUUUUUGUGUGCCUGAAACGUAUCAGGUGUCUCUUUUGGGACUGCUCAUUUGCACAGGGCAUGUGCUCUCUGUUGCCAAAAUGAAGGCUCAGGACCAUCCAAAAUGAACUUCCAAAUGUGAUUUCUGUGGGGAUGGAGCGAUCCAGCCCUGCACUGUGCUGGUGUGGUGGGAGCCCCAUGGCACCUUUGUGUUAGCAGGGAACCCAGGGUGCCACUGGGCUUCUGCACAGACUUAAAACAAAACCAAAGCAAUGACAACAAAGAAAAAGUGGAGAAAAAACCAAACUUUUAGCUCUGUGGCAUCUUCCUGGUGUGGGCACCGCGCAGCAGAGGAGCAAGCGACAAUUUUCUAACAGAUUGCCUGAGAAUUUGUGUGUCUGGAGGUAGGGAAGGGAAUCAGUUGGAGAAGAGAAACGUGGAGAUGACAGCUGGUUAGGGCUUUUGAAAGAGGAUCUCAGAGUCUGCCCGGUGUCCUUCGUAGGAGGCACGUGGCCAUAAACACAAAGUGAGCGGCUGGCGUAGUCCCUGCAGGGAUUCAGAUCCGCAAAACUCAGCCAAACGAGAGGGGAAAAAAAAACAAAAGGCAUUGCAAGGAAUUCAGAGGAAGCCCAGCAAAAUUUGGAAUGGAUGAAAGGUAGCAGUGCAGCAAAUCCUGCAGUGAGCAGAACAACGAAAUGGCGUUUAUGGCGAUGCA